rnacentral:rRNA from 1 species
GAUGAACGCUGGCGGCGUGCCUAAUACAUGCAAGUCGAGCGAACAGACGAGGAGCUUGCUCCUCUGACGUUAGCGGCGGACGGGUGAGUAACACGUGGAUAACCUACCUAUAAGACUGGGAUAACUUCGGGAAACCGGAGCUAAUACCGGAUAAUAUAUUGAACCGCAUGGUUCAAUAGUGAAAGACGGUUUUGCUGUCACUGAUAGAUGGAUCCGCGCCGCAUUAGCUAGUUGGUAAGGUAACGGCUUACCAAGGCAACGAUGCGUAGCCGACCUGAGAGGGUGAUCGGCCACACUGGAACUGAGACACGGUCCAGACUCCUACGGGAGGCAGCAGUAGGGAAUCUUCCGCAAUGGACGAAAGCCUGACGGAGCAACGCCGCGUGAGUGAUGAAGGUCUUCGGAUCGUAAAACUCUGUUAUUAGGGAAGAACAAAUGUGUAAGUAACUAUGCACGUCUUGACGGUACCUAAUCAGAAAGCCACGGCUAACUACGUG